GAUGAACGCUGGCGGCGUGCCUAAUACAUGCAAGUCGAACGAGGUGCUUGAGUAGCAAUACGAGAGUAUCCUAGUGGCGAACGGGUGAGUAACGCGUUGGUGACCUGCCCCAAAGUGUGGGAUAACAGUCCGAAAGGAUUGCUAAUACCGCAUGUGGUUAUCGGAUUUAGAAACUGAUAUCUAAAGGAGCAAUUCGCUUUGGGAGGGACCUGCGUCCCAUCAGCUAGUUGGUGAGGUAAUGGCUCACCAAGGCUACGACGGGUAGGGGACCUGAGAGGGUGACCCCCCANAAUGGAACUGAAACACGGUCCAUACACCUACGGGUGGCAGCAGUAGGGAAUAUUGCUCAAUGGGCGAAAGCCUGAAGCAGCAACGCCGCGUGUGCGAUGAAGGCCUUGGUCGUAAGCACUUUCUGAGGAUGAGCAAGGACAGUACUCAGGAAUAAGUACUCGGCUAACUACGUAGCCAGCAGCCGCGGU
rnacentral:rRNA from 1 species